rnacentral:lncRNA from 1 species
GGGACAUAGUAUGUACUGGUCUUUGCAUUGUCAGUAUCCCUCUGACAAUCAUAUGACCAGGAACCUUUUGGACAUGAUGGUUAUGUGAAGAAUGUCUCUGUAGUCUAACAUCAUUACAUUACUUCCUACAUUGAUCCAUUGUCCAUGGAUUCACUAUUUAGGACGUAUAUUGUUUAUUGAGAUAGUCCUAAUUAGUACCUUUGCCUUUUGAUGUAUAAGAGUCAUCUAUGCACACAUUCAUUGUCCUAAAAGGUUUCUUUCAAAGAUUGACUUUCAGGGCAUAUUUCCAACAAGGGGGAGCGUUGCAGUCCUAUUAGAAUAGGAAUGUGAUUGUGUUAAUCCUAGUAUAUCUUGGAAUAUCUCUUAUAUUCCUAUUAAGAGUAGAUUACCUAUUAAAUGUUGUAAUCCUAAAGGGAAAGGUUUUUACUUAUCCUACUACUAUAAAUAAAGGCACAGUGGGGUGGAAUAGAACACAACCAUAAUUACACAUCUUUCUUCUUCUUCUCCAUUGCCGCACCUUUCUCUCUCUCUCUCUCUCUAAGGCCUCCAUAAUUGUUCAUUAAAUUAUGCCUACAACAAUAUGAAGUAUAAAGUUUCGUUGUGUUUUUCCAAAUUUCCCACACCUUUUUUGGAGGAAAACAUAUGAGCAGUUGAGCCUAAGAACCUUGCGGAUAAAGAGUUUGCAUCUUGCGAAGACGCUGGAACAUAUUAGGCAAAAUAUGCAAAGGCACUUGAUUUUAGUGAGAGAAUAAUUUGCAAGGAUUCAAUAGAUAUCUCAUAGAUAUUAGACAAAUUUUAUUUGAACCUAUUUAACAUUUUUCUACAUUCAACUUACUUUCUACAUUCAUAGUUAGUUUUAGGGUUAAUCUUAAUUUACUACCCUAAAAUUUCUUGGUUUUCAAAAUUUUAGACAUCAAGUUUUUUUUUGUCCAUCUGGUAUCUAAUGUCAUUAUUUUGGGACACUUUCAUGCAUCCGUUAAGUUUUCCAUCAGAACCUCCGUUAACUGACAACGUGGCGCCCACAUGA